AUGAACGCUAGCUACAGGCUUAACACAUGCAAGUCGAGGGGCAGCAUGGUCUUAGCUUGCUAAGACUGAUGGCGACCGGCGCACGGGUGAGUAACACGUAUCCAACCUGCCGUCUACUCUUGGACAGCCUUCUGAAAGGAAGAUUAAUACAAGAUGGCAUCAUGAGUCCGCAUGUUCACAUGAUUAAAGGUAUUCCGGUAGACGAUGGGGAUGCGUUCCAUUAGAUAGUAGGCGGGGUAACGGCCCACCUAGUCUUCGAUGGAUAGGGGUUCUGAGAGGAAGGUCCCCCACAUUGGAACUGAGACACGGUCCAAACUCCUACGGGAGGCAGCAGUGAGGAAUAUUGGUCAAUGGGCGAGAGCCUGAACCAGCCAAGUAGCGUGAAGGAUGACUGCCCUAUGGGUUGUAAACUUCUUUUAUAAAGGAAUAAAGUCGGGUAUGGAUACCCGUUUGCAUGUACUUUAUGAAUAAGGAUCGGCUAACUCCGUGCCAGCAGCCGCGGUAAUACGGAGGAUCCGAGCGUUAUCCGGAUUUAUUGGGUUUAAAGGGAGCGUAGAUGGAUGUUUAAGUCAGUUGUGAAAGUUUGCGGCUCAACCGUAAAAUUGCAGUUGAUACUGGAUAUCUUGAGUGCAGUUGAGGCAGGCGGAAUUCGUGGUGUAGCGGUGAAAUGCUUAGAUAUCACGAAGAACUCCGAUUGCGAAGGCAGCCUGCUAAGCUGCAACUGACAUUGAGGCUCGAAAGUGUGGGUAUCAAACAGGAUUAGAUACCCUGGUAGUCCACACGGUAAACGAUGAAUACUCGCUGUUUGCGAUAUACUGCAAGCGGCCAAGCGAAAGCGUUAAGUAUUCCACCUGGGGAGUACGCCGGCAACGGUGAAACUCAAAGGAAUUGACGGGGGCCCGCACAAGCGGAGGAACAUGUGGUUUAAUUCGAUGAUACGCGAGGAACCUUACCCGGGCUUAAAUUGCAGAUGAAUUACGGUGAAAGCCGUAAGCCGCAAGGCAUCUGUGAAGGUGCUGCAUGGUUGUCGUCAGCUCGUGCCGUGAGGUGUCGGCUUAAGUGCCAUAACGAGCGCAACCCUUGUUGUCAGUUACUAACAGGUUCCGCUGAGGACUCUGACAAGACUGCCAUCGUAAGAUGUGAGGAAGGUGGGGAUGACGUCAAAUCAGCACGGCCCUUACGUCCGGGGCUACACACGUGUUACAAUGGGGCGUACAGAGGGCCGCUACCACGCGAGUGGAUGCCAAUCCCCAAAACCUCUCUCAGUUCGGACUGGAGUCUGCAACCCGACUCCACGAAGCUGGAUUCGCUAGUAAUCGCGCAUCAGCCACGGCGCGGUGAAUACGUUCCCGGGCCUUGUACACACCGCCCGUCAAGCCAUGGGAGCCGGGGGUACCUGAAGUGCGUAACCGCGAGGAGCGCCCUAGGGUAAAACUGGUGACUGGGGCU
rnacentral:rRNA from 1 species